CUGUCCGAGGGGCGCUGCAGCAGGCUCGACCUGUCAGGCUCGGAUGGGGCGUUGUCCGCUCCCGCGGACGCUCAACGCACAACGGCGCCCAUUCGCA
rfam:Pseudomonas sp. TRMO17WK12:I11 isolate Yellow genome assembly, chromosome: 1